UUUGAAGGCUCUUUCAAACUCUUCAAUCGAUAAGUCUAGGAAUAAGUCAUGGGAAGAAAGUAAAUUAUUUGAAGUUGUCAAAAAAUCAUUAAAGGAAAUAUUUGUAGAUGGAAUCCUAUCAGCCAACCUACUUCCGAUAUCAGUUAUUUCGGAAACGGGAAAAUUCGCAUCGUACACCGAGAAGAAUGUAUUA